UACGUAGGGUGCGAGCGUUAAUCGGAAUUACUGGGCGUAAAGCGUGCGCAGGCGGUUAUGUAAGACAGUUGUGAAAUCCCCGGGCUCAACCUGGGAAUUGCAUUGGAAACUGGCUUGCUAGAGUGUGGCAGAGGGGGAUGGAAUUCCGCGUGUAGCAGUGAAAUGCGUAGAUAUGCGGAGGAACACCGAUGGCGAAGGCAAUCCCCUGGGCCUGCACUGACGCUCAUGCACGAAAGCGUGGGGAGCAAACAGG
rnacentral:rRNA from 1 species